rnacentral:rRNA from 1 species
CCUACGGGAGGCAGCAGUGAGGAAUUUUGCGCAAUGGGGGAAACCCUGACGCAGCAACGCCGCGUGAGUGAAGAAGGCCUUCGGGUCGUAAAGCUCUGUCAAGUGGGAAAAAAUCUUCAUCGUUAACAGCGCUGAAGAGUGAUGGUACCACUAAAGGAAGCACCGGCUAACUCCGUGCCAGCAGCCGCGGUAAUACGGAGGGUGCUAGCGUUGUUCGGAAUUACUGGGCGUAAAGAGCGUGUAGGCGGUUUGGUAAGUCAGGCGUGAAAGCCCAGGGCUCAACCCUGGAAGUGCGCUUGAAACUGCCAUGCUUGAGUAUGGGAGAGGAGAGUGGAAUUCCCAGUGUAGAGGUGAAAUUCGUAGAUAUUGGGAGGAACACCCGUGGCGAAGGCGACUCUCUGGACCAAUACUGACGCUGAGACGCGAAAGCGUGGGGAGC